UGGCACGGGUUAGAUCGUGAGCGGGAAGCAGGAGGCGAGGCGAGGUGAGUCGGGUCGGUUUAUUUAAAUUAUUGUGUAUUGUGCGGUUUCCUUCAAUUUAUUCAGUUUGUUACUUGCCGUUGUCGCGAACGGACGUGUGCUCAAGCAAAUCUAAAUUUUCCGGUUUAAAUAAAUUUUCAAUUCGGUGACUAGUGAUCGCGUUUGAGUGACACAUUUUAAAUACAGUAAAUAAAAUUAUAAUCAAACACUCAAAUAAUUAAUUGCCACGUAAUAAUUUUGCCUUUAAUUUCAAUGAAUGAAAGUGGCUUGCUCAAAAUUUAAUGCAAAUAAACAUUUUUUUUGGUUUCAUUUUUAUUAUUAUUUUUUUUAAUGCUACAAACGGUAGCCAACGUGGAAGCGAUAUGAAGGUAGGUGUAUUUUAUUGCUGUGUCGUAUUUAUUUAUUUCAAAAAACCAAUAAUUUCAUAAAACUUAAUUGCAAUUAAAAUCUUUAAAUGCGGUAUUGAAAAGUGAUAUUUUGAAUGACACAUUUUAAAUACAGUAACUAUAAAUAAAAUAAACCACUCAAAUAAUUUAUUGCCACGAAAUUUUGCCUUUAAUUUCAAUGAAUGAAAGUGGCUUGCUGAAAAUUUAAUGCAAAUAAACAUUUUUUUUGGUUUCAUUUUUAUUAUUAUUUUUUUUAAUGCUACAAACGGUAGCCAACGUGGAAGCGAUAUGAAGGUAGGUGUAUUUUAUUGCUGUGUCGUAUUUAUUUAUUUCAAAAAACCAAUAAUUUCAUAAAACUUAAAUGCAAUUAAAAUCUUUAAAUGCGGUAUUGAAAAGUGAUAUUUUGAAUGACACAUUUUAAAUACAGUAACUAUAAAUAAAAUAAACCACUCAAAUAAUUUAUUGCCACGAAAUUUUGCCUUUAAUUUCAAUGAAUGAAAGUGGCUUGCUGAAAAUUUAAUGCAAAUAAACAUUUUUUUUGGUUUCAUUUUUAUUAUUAUUUUUUUUAAUGCUACAAACGGUAGCCAACGUGGAAGCGAUAUGAAGGUAGGUGUAUUUUAUUGCUGUGUCGUAUUUAUUUAUUUCAAAAAACCAAUAAUUUCAUAAAACUUAAUUGCAAUUAAAAUCUUUAAAUGCGGUAUUGAAAAGUGAUAUUUUGAAUGACACAUUUUAAAUACAGUAACUAUAAAUAAAAUAAACCACUCAAAUAAUUUAUUGCCACGAAAUUUUGCCUUUAAUUUCAAUGAAUGAAAGUGGCUUGCUGAAAAUUUAAUGCAAAUAAACAUUUUUUUUGGUUUCAUUUUUAUUAUUAUUUUUUUUAAUGCUACAAACGGUAGCCAACGUGGAAGCGAUAUGAAGGUAGGUGUAUUUUAUUGCUGUGUCGUAUUUAUUUAUUUCACAAACCAAUAAUUUCAUAAAACUUAAAUGCAAUUAAAAUCUUUAAAUGCGGUAUUGAAAAGUGAUAUUUUGAAUGACACAUUUUAAAUACAGUAACUAUAAAUAAAAUAAACCACUCAAAUAAUUUAUUGCCACGAAAUUUUGCCUUUAAUUUCAAUGAAUGAAAGUGGCUUGCUCAAAAUUUAAUGCAAAUAAACAUUUUUUUUGGUUUCAUUUUUAUUAUUAUUUUUUUUAAUGCUACAAACGGUAGCCAACGUGGAAGCGAUAUGAAGGUAGGUGUAUUUUAUUGCUGUGUCGUAUUUAUUUAUUUCAAAAAACCAAUAAUUUCAUAAAACUUAAAUGCAAUUAAAAUCUUUAAAUGCGGUAUUGAAAAGUGAUAUUUUGAAUGACACAUUUUAAAUACAGUAACUAUAAAUAAAAUAAACCACUCAAAUAAUUUAUUGCCACGAAAUUUUGCCUUUAAUUUCAAUGAAUGAAAGUGGCUUGCUGAAAAUUUAAUGCAAAUAAACAUUUUUUUUGGUUUCAUUUUUAUUAUUAUUUUUUUUAAUGCUACAAACGGUAGCCAACGUGGAAGCGAUAUGAAGGUAGGUGUAUUUUAUUGCUGUGUCGUAUUUAUUUAUUUCAAAAAACCAAUAAUUUCAUAAAACUUAAUUGCAAUUAAAAUCUUUAAAUGCGGUAUUGAAAAGUGAUAUUUUGAAUGACACAUUUUAAAUACAGUAACUAUAAAUAAAAUAAACCACUCAAAUAAUUUAUUGCCACGAAAUUUUGCCUUUAAUUUCAAUGAAUGAAAGUGGCUUGCUCAAAAUUUAAUGCAAAUAAACAUUUUUUUUGGUUUCAUUUUUAUUAUUAUUUUUUUUUGGUUUCAUUUUUAUUAUUAUUUUUUUUAAUGCUACAAACGGUAGCCAACGUGGAAGCGAUAUGAAGGUAGGUGUAUUUUAUUGCUGUGUCGUAUUUAUUUAUUUCAAAAAACCAAUAAUUUCAUAAAACUUAAUUGCAAUUAAAAUCUUUAAAUGCGGUAUUGAAAAGUGAUAUUUUGAAUGACACAUUUUAAAUACAGUAACUAUAAAUAAAAUAAACCACUCAAAUAAUUUAUUGCCACGAAAUUUUGCCUUUAAUUUCAAUGAAUGAAAGUGGCUUGCUGAAAAUUUAAUGCAAAUAAACAUUUUUUUUGGUUUCAUUUUUAUUAUUAUUUUUUUUAAUGCUACAAACGGUAGCCAACGUGGAAGCGAUAUGAAGGUAGGUGUAUUUUAUUGCUGUGUCGUAUUUAUUUAUUUCAAAAAACCAAUAAUUUCAUAAAACUUAAUUGAAAUUAAAAUCUUUAAAUGCGGUAUUGAAAAGUGAUAUUUUGAGUGACACAUUUUAAAUACAGUAACUAUAAAUAAAAUAAACCACUCAAAUAAUUUAUUGCCACGAAAUUUUGCCUUUAAUUUCAAUGAAUGAAAGUGGCUUGCUCAAAAUUUAAUGCAAAUAAACAUUUUUUUUGGUUUCAUUUUUAUUAUUAUUUUUUUUGGUUUCAUUUUUAUUAUUAUUUUUUUUAAUGCUACAAACGGUAGCCAACGUGGAAGCGAUAUGAAGGUAGGUGUAUUUUAUUGCUGUGUCGUAUUUAUUUAUUUCAAAAAACCAAUAAUUUCAUAAAACUUAAAUGCAAUUAAAAUCUUUAAAUGCGGUAUUGAAAAGUGAUAUUUUGAAUGACACAUUUUAAAUACAGUAACUAUAAAUAAAAUAAACCACUCAAAUAAUUUAUUGCCACGAAAUUUUGCCUUUAAUUUCAAUGAAUGAAAGUGGCUUGCUGAAAAUUUAAUGCAAAUAAACAUUUUUUUUGGUUUCAUUUUUAUUAUUAUUUUUUUUAAUGCUACAAACGGUAGCCAACGUGGAAGCGAUAUGAAGGUAGGUGUAUUUUAUUGCUGUGUCGUAUUUAUUUAUUUCAAAAAACCAAUAAUUUCAUAAAACUUAAAUGCAAUUAAAAUCUUUAAAUGCGGUAUUGAAAAGUGAUAUUUUGAGUGACACAUUUUAAAUACAGUAACUAUAAAUAAAAUAAACCACUCAAAUAAUUUAUUGCCACGAAAUUUUGCCUUUAAUUUCAAUGAAUGAAAGUGGCUUGCUGAAAAUUUAAUGCAAAUAAACAUUUUUUUUGGUUUCAUUUUUAUUAUUAUUUUUUUUAAUGCUACAAACGGUAGCCAACGUGGAAGCGAUAUGAAGGUAGGUGUAUUUUAUUGCUGUGUCGUAUUUAUUUAUUUCAAAAAACCAAUAAUUUCAUAAAACUUAAAUGCAAUUAAAAUCUUUAAAUGCGGUAUUGAAAAGUGAUAUUUUGAGUGACACAUUUUAAAUACAGUAACUAUAAAUAAAAUAAACCACUCAAAUAAUUUAUUGCCACGAAAUUUUGCCUUUAAUUUCAAUGAAUGAAAGUGGCUUGCUCAAAAUUUAAUGCAAAUAAACAUUUUUUUUGGUUUCAUUUUUAUUAUUAUUUUUUUUUGGUUUCAUUUUUAUUAUUAUUUUUUUUAAUGCUACAAACGGUAGCCAACGUGGAAGCGAUAUGAAGGUAGGUGUAUUUUAUUGCUGUGUCGUAUUUACUUAUUUCAAAAAACCAAUAAUUUCAUAAAACUUAAUUGCAAUUAAAAUCUUUAAAUGCGGUAUUGAAAAGUGAUAUUUUGAGUGACACAUUUUAAAUACAGUAACUAUAAAUAAAAUAAACCACUCAAAUAAUUUAUUGCCACAAAAUUUUGCCUUUAAUUUCAAUGAAUGAAAGUGGCUUGCUGAAAAUUUAAUGCAAAUAAACAUUUUUUUUGGUUUCAUUUUUAUUAUUAUUUUUUUUGGUUUCAUUUUUAUUAUUAUUUUUUUUAAUGCUACAAACGGUAGCCAACGUGGAAGCGAUAUGAAGGUAGGUGUAUUUUAUUGCUGUGUCGUAUUUAUUUAUUUCACAAACCAAUAAUUUCAUAAAACUUAAUUGCAAUUAAAAUCUUUAAAUGCGGUAUUGAAAAGUGAUAUUUUGAGUGACACAUUUUAAAUACAGUAACUAUAAAUAAAAUAAACCACUCAAAUAAUUUAUUGCCACGAAAUUUUGCCUUUAAUUUCAAUGAAUGAAAGUGGCUUGCUCAAAAUUUAAUGCAAAUAAACAUUUUUUUUGGUUUCAUUUUUAUUAUUAUUUUUUUUAAUGCUACAAACGGUAGCCAACGUGGAAGCGAUAUGAAGGUAGGUGUAUUUUAUUGCUGUGUCGUAUUUAUUUAUUUCACAAACCAAUAAUUUCAUAAAACUUAAUUGCAAUUAAAAUCUUUAAAUGCGGUAUUGAAAAGUGAUAUUUUGAGUGACACAUUUUAAAUACAGUAACUAUAAAUAAAAUAAACCACUCAAAUAAUUUAUUGCCACAAAAUUUUGCCUUUAAUUUCAAUGAAUGAAAGUGGCUUGCUGAAAAUUUAAUGCAAAUAAACAUUUUUUUUGGUUUCAUUUUUAUUAUUAUUUUUUUUGGUUUCAUUUUUAUUAUUAUUUUUUUUAAUGCUACAAACGGUAGCCAACGUGGAAGCGAUAUGAAGGUAGGUGUAUGUUAUUGCUGUGUCGUAUUUAUUUAUUUCAAAAAACCAAUAAUUUCAUAAAACUUAACUGCAAUUAAAAUCUUUAAAUGCGGUAUUGAAAAGUGAUAUUUUGAGUGACACAUUUUAAAUACAGUAACUAUAAAUAAAAUAAACCACUCAAAUAAUUUAUUGCCACGAAAUUUUACCUUUAAUUUCAAUGAAUGAAAGUGGCUUGCUCAAAAUUUAAUGCAAAUAAACAUUUUUUUUGGUUUCAUUUUUAUUAUUAUUUUUUUUUGGUUUCAUUUUUAUUAUUAUUUUUUUUAAUGCUACAAACGGUAGCCAACGUGGAAGCGAUAUGAAGGUAGGUGUAUUUUAUUGCUGUGUCGUAUUUACUUAUUUCAAAAAACCAAUAAUUUCAUAAAACUUAAUUGCAAUUAAAAUCUUUAAAUGCGGUAUUGAAAAGUGAUAUUUUGAGUGACACAUUUUAAAUACAGUAACUAUAAAUAAAAUAAACCACUCAAAUAAUUUAUUGCCACGAAAUUUUACCUUUAAUUUCAAUGAAUGAAAGUGGCUUGCUCAAAAUUUAAUGCAAAUAAACAUUUUUUUUGGUUUCAUUUUUAUUAUUAUUUUUUUUGGUUUCAUUUUUAUUAUUAUUUUUUUUAAUGCUACAAACGGUAGCCAACGUGGAAGCGAUAUGAAGGUAGGUGUAUUUUAUUGCUGUGUCGUAUUUACUUAUUUCAAAAAACCAAUAAUUUCAUAAAACUUAAUUGCAAUUAAAAUCUUUAAAUGCGGUAUUGAAAAGUGAUAUUUUGAGUGACACAUUUUAAAUACAGUAACUAUAUAGUAAUUUUUGUAUUAAGUGCGCGAAAUGAGUGUUUUUUUAAUGGCGCCUGAGAAUGUUAUUUUAGUCGAGACCGCCAGGUCGAGACCUAAAAGACAUUCGAAGGCGCCAUUAAAACAUGAAUUUCGCCACGAAAUACAAACAACGUUUUUUCUACAGCCUCCAGAUGAAGAAAAAAGUAACAGAAAUUAGUUGGAACAAAAUGGUCUGAUAAAUCGAGUUGCUUGCAUGGUUACGAUGAUAAAUAAAAGUGAUAGUUGCGAAAAAUUUGUCACAAUAGGUAUUUUUGUUGAAGAAGUGUGAUGGAUUUUAGCAGCGAAAACGAAAUAGAUGCAAUUGCAAGCGCGGCAGUGUCGAAUCUUUUGCCUGCUAAAUCAAGACCGCAGUACGAAAAAACGUAUCUUCAGUUUCGGCAGUGGUGUUCUAUGAAAAAGAUUGAUCAAGUAACGGAAAAUGUUUUGUUGGCGUAUUUGGAAGAAAAGUCUACCACCUUAAAGCCACCAACACUCUGGGCCCUUUAUGCGAUGUUGAAAGCCACCUUAAACGUUAAAGAGAAUAUCGAUACACAAGCAAGAAGUCGCAAAUUUUAGACAAAGAAGACAUUAGCAAGUUUAUUAAUGAAGCAGAUGACAAGAUAUAUUUACUGAUGAAGGUAAACUUAUCAUAUUAGUGUAAUACAAAUCAAAACAACUCGUUUUAUUUAUAGACUGUGCUAAUUUUGGGUAUAUCGGGAGCCCUUCGACGUGAAGAAUUAGUUAAAAUGAAGCUAACUGACAUAGAAGAUAAACAGUCUGUCUUAAUUGUGAAGGUGCCUGAUACAAAAACCCACUGCGAACGAAUAUUUACUGUUUCAAAUUUAGAAAAUAUAGAAAUUGUCAGAAAAUAUAGAGCUUUGCGGCCUCCACGGGCGACUAGUGACCGUUUAUUUUUAAAGUAUACCAACGGAAAAUGUGUGAAUCAAAAUGUUGGAAUUAACAAAAUCGGAGAGAUACCAAGUUUGAUUGCAAAGUGGCUUAACAAAGACGAACCUAAAAAAUAUACUGGUCACUGCUUCAGAAGAAGCUCUGCCACUCUUUUGGCGAAUGCUGGAGGUGAUCUAAUUUCAAUUAAACGUCAUGGGGGCUGGAGAAGCAGCACAGUGGCAGAAAGUUACAUCGAGGACUCUUUGAAUAAUAAAAUUGAAAUUGCCAAUAAAAUUCAACCUUCUUCCUCCACAGAAGAAAACAAAAUCACUCAACCUUCUACAUCGGCUUCUUUUAAUGGCGAAAAUAACUUUCAUUUACAAGCGUCUUCACUCAGGCCUCUGGGGAUAAACGGGGGCACGUUUUCGUCAUGCACAUUUAAUUUUCAUAUGUCAAAGUAAAUAUCUAUUAUUAUUGUUUUGUAAUAUUGUUCUGUAUAAUUAUAAAACCUUUAAAACUACCUCUCAUUAUCGAUCCGUCUCUUCAUUUCGGUUGCUGUUGAUGUCUUUUCGUGUUACUAAAAUUGUAACAGAAAUAAGUUGGAACAAAAUGAUCUGAAAAAUCGAGUUGCCUGCACAGUUAAAAAAUAUUAUUUUUUCACUGUGAAACCGUGAAAAAAUAAUAUUUUUUCACAGUGAAAAAACGUCAAACUUCGCGCAUAGGUAACCAUGCAUAAAUGUCACGAUUUUUUGACGGCUGUAGAAAAAAUAAAAUAAA